CUAAGGUUCGAUUCGAGCGAAAGCGAGAAAGCGUUGCCAACGGCAACGACCCGAAGGGCGAAGCGCGCAGCGCUGAGUAAUCCUUCCCCCGUCAUCC
rnacentral:sRNA from 1 species